rnacentral:rRNA from 1 species
UACGUAGGGUGCGAGCGUUAAUCGGAAUUACUGGGCGUAAAGCGUGCGCAGGCGGUUCGCCGUGUCCGAUGUGAAAGCCCCGGGCUUAACCUGGGAAUGGCAUUGGAAACUGGCGGGCUGGAGUGUGGGCAGAGGGGGGUGGGAAUUCCUGGUGUAGCGGUGAAAUUCGUGAGAUAUUGGGUGGAACACCGGCGGCGAAGGCGGCACUCUGGGCCGGUACUGACGCUGAGACGCGAAAGCGUGGGGAGCAAACAGG